GCCCUAGUAACGGCGAGUGAAGCGGCAACAGCUCAAAUUUGAAAUCUGGCCUUCGGGUCCGAGUUGUAAUUUGUAGAGGAUGCUUUUGGUGAGGUGCCUUCCGAGUUCCCUGGAACGGGACGCCAUAGAGGGUGAGAGCCCCGUCUGGUUGGACACCGAUCCUCUGUAAAGCUCCUUCGACGAGUCGAGUAGUUUGGGAAUGCUGCUCUAAAUGGGAGGUAUAUGUCUUCUAAAGCUAAAUAUUGGCCAGAGACCGAUAGCGCACAAGUAGAGUGAUCGAAAGAUGAAAAGCACUUUGAAAAGAGAGUUAAAAAGUACGUGAAAUUGUUGAAAGGGAAGCGCUCAUGACCAGACUUGGGCUUGGUUGAUCAUCCAGGGUUCUCCCUGGUGCACUCUUCCAGUUCAGGCCAGCAUCAGUUCGCUGUGGGGGAUAAAGGCUUUGGGAAUGUGGCUCCCUCGGGAGUGUUAUAGCCCAUUGUGUAAUACCCUGUGGUGGACUGAGGUUCGCGCAUUCGCAAGGAUGCUGGCGUAAUGGUCAUCAGUGACCCGUCUUGAAACACGGACCAAGGAGUCGUCUUCGUAUGCGAGUGUUCGGGUGUUAAACCCCUACGCGUAAUGAAAGUGAACGCAGGUGAGAGCUUCGGCGCAUCAUCGACCGAUCCUGAUGUUCUCGGAUGGAUUUGAGUAAGAGCAUACGGGGCCGGACCCGAAAGAAGGUGAACUAUGCCUGUAUAGGGUGAAGCCAGAGGAAACUCUGGUGGAGGCUCGCAGCGGUUCUGACGUGCAAAUCGAUCGUCAAAUAUGGGCAUGGGGGCGAAAG
rnacentral:rRNA from 1 species